UACGUAGGGUGCAAGCGUUAAUCGGAAUUACUGGGCGUAAAGCGUGCGCAGGCGGUUUUGUAAGUCUGACGUGAAAUCCCCGGGCUCAACCUGGGAAUUGCGUUGGAGACUGCAAGGCUGGAGUCUGGCAGAGGGGGGGUAGAAUUCCACGUGUAGCAGUGAAAUGCGUAGAGAUGUGGAGGAACACCGAUGGCGAAGGCAGCCCCCUGGGUCAAGAUUGACGCUCAUGCACGAAAGCGUGGGGAGCAAACGAGG
rnacentral:rRNA from 1 species